AAGAUUGUUGCUCUUCAUCCAAAUUAUAUAUUCAGCUACGCUCCAGCAACAGUUAAACGUGUUUAUAGAUUGAAUGGAGCGGAUCUUACAUUUUAUGAUAACACAACAGGAACUUUACCAUGGAGUGAAAUCUACAAGAUUUCUAAUCAGAAAUACACUGACUGCGUUAACCAUAUUGAGCAGAAAGAAAAGGAAAUGCUUCAAUCAAAUGUUAUAGUAUUACAUGAAAAGUGUGGCCACUUCGAAUCUGGUACAGUCAACAGACAUAUUGGAAAGCAGAUGUUCACUGUGACUAUGACUGAACGCAACGGAGUUGGCCAUCUUGAACAACAAGCAAACCACAUGUUUCUGAGGAGAACAAAACCGAGUAUUGAUGUUGAUUUAAAGAGCUUAAAAUACGUUAUUUGUCGCGUAAAUGAUGUUUUCCUUCCUGGUGAGAUAUGCAAAUCGACGGACACAAACGAGAAAACAAUGUCGGAUGAAACUAUCACUGUCUGUUUUUGUAACCAC